rnacentral:rRNA from 1 species
UACAGGAUCUAUGAGCGGCGGACGGGUGAGUAACACGUGGGUAACCUACCUUUUAGAUGGGGAUAACGCCUGGAAACGGGUGCUAAUCCCGAAUGGGAUCUUUCUUCGCAUGAAGAGAGAAGGAAAGGCGCUGCAAGGCGUUGCUAAGAGAUGGGCCCGCGGCGCAUUAGCUAGUUGGUGAGGUAACGGCCCACCAAGGCGACGAUGCGUAGCCGACCUGAGAGGGUGACCGGCCACACUGGGACUGAGACACGGCCCAGACUCCUACGGGAGGCAGCAGUAGGGAAUCUUCCGCAAUGGGCGAAAGCCUGACGGAGCAACGCCGUGUGAGCGAUGACGGUCUUCGGAUUGUAAAGCUCUGUCAAUUGGGACGAGCGGCAUGGAGAGGAAAUGCUCUGUGCGAGACGGUACCAGAGAAGGAAGCCCCGGCUAACUACGUGCCAGCAGCCGCGGUAAUACGUAGGGGGCAAGCGUUGUCCGGAAUGACUGGGCGUAAAGCGCGCGCAGGCGGUUUCUUGCGUCUGAGGUGAAAGUCCCAGGCUCAACCCUGGGGACUGCCUUGGAAACGGGGGAACUUGAGGGUCGGAGAGGUCAGGGGGAAUUCCACGUGUAGCGGUGAAAUGCGUAGAGAUGUGGAGGAAUACCAGUGGCGAAGGCGCCUGACUGGACGAAACCUGACGCUGAGGCCCGAAGGCUUGGGGAGCCAACAGGAUUAGAUACCCUGGUAGUCCACGCGGGUAACGAUGAGUGCUAGGUGUCGGAGGGUACCACCUCGGGUGCCGAAGGGUACCCAAUUAGCACCUCGCCUGGGGAAUUCGGUCGCAAGACUGAAACUCAAAGGAAUUGACGGGGGCCCGCACAAGCAGUGGAGCAUGUGGUUUAAUUCGAAGCAACGCGAAGAACCUUACCAGGGCUUGACAUCGGCGUGACCGGAUCAGAGAUGAUCCUUCCCUUCGGGGCACGCUAGACAGGUGGUGCAUGGUUGUCGUCAGCUCGUGUCGUGAGAUGUUGGGUUAAGUCCCGCAACGAGCGCAACCCUUGAUCUGUGUUACCAGCACGUAGAGGUGGGGACUCACAGAUGACUGCCGGUGACAAACCGGAGGAAGGCGGGGAUGACGUCAAAUCAUCAUGCCCCUUAUGUCCUGGGCAACACACGUGCUACAAUGGGCGGUACAACGGGAAGCGAAGCUGCGAAGUGGAGCGAACCCCGA